CCUACGGGGGGCUGCAGUAAGGAAUAUUGGACAAUGGAGGCAACUCUGAUCCAGCCAUGCCGCGUGAAGGAUUAAGGCCCUAUGGGUUGUAAACUUCUUUUAGACGGGACAAAACCCCUUUACGUGUAAAGGGUUGAUGGUACUGUCAGAAUAAGCAUCGGCUAACUUCGUGCCAGCAGCCGCGGUAAUACGAAGGAUGCAAGCGUUAUCCGGAAUUAUUGGGUUUAAAGGGUGCGUAGGCGGACUAAUAAGUCAGUGGUGAAAGCCUGCAGCUU
rnacentral:rRNA from 1 species